UACGGGGGGGGCAAGCGUUGUUCGGAUUUAUUGGGCGUAAAGGGUGCGUAGGUGGCAAAGUAAGUUGGAUGUGAAAUCCUGGGGCUUAACCUCAGAAUUGCAUUCAAUACUGCUUAGCUAGAGAGCUGUAGAGGAGACUGGAAUUUACGGUGUAGCAGUGAAAUGCGUAGAUAUCGUAAGGAACGCCAGUGGCGAAAGCGAGUCUCUGGGCAGCAUCUGACACUGAGGCACGAAGGCCAGGGGAGCAAACGGG
rnacentral:rRNA from 1 species